rnacentral:rRNA from 1 species
UACGGAAGGCAGCAGUGGGGAAUAUUGCACAAUGGGCGCAAGCCUGAUGCAGCCAUGCCGCGUGUAUGAAGAAGGCCUUCGGGUUGUAAAGUACUUUCAGUCGUGAGGAAGGUGUUAAGGUUAAUAACCUUAGCAUUGACGUUAGCGACAGAAGAAGCACCGGCUAACUCCGUGCCAGCAGCCGCGGUAAUACGGAGGGUGCGAGCGUUAAUCGGAAUUACUGGGCGUAAAGGGCACGCAGGCGGUUAAUUAAGUUGGAUGUGAAAUCCCCGGGCUUAACCUGGGAAUGGCAUUCAAGACUGGUUAGCUAGAGUCUUGUAGAGGGGGUAGAAUUCCAUGUGUAGCGGUGAAAUGCGUAGAGAUGUGGAGGAAUACCGGUGGCGAAGGCGGCCCCUGGACAAAGACUGACGCUCAUGUGCGAAAGCGUGGGGAGCAAACAGGAUUAGAUACC